CUUGGCAAAGAACACAAACAUAUGUAAUUAAAUCAGCCUGCUAAUUACAUGAGUGUUAAAAUGGUGUGAAUGUUGAAGAAAAUACACUUAAAACACACUUGGAUAAAAUAGAGUGGUUGUGGAGUAACUCAAAAGAAGCUGUAUGACAAGGGAGUGAGUUAUGGAAAAACAAAAACAAAAGAAAAGUGUCUAUAAGAGUGACUCAGGAGUGCUCUUGCACUGAUUUAUCAAAGUAAGUGAUUAGUAUAGAAAGAAAAUGAAAAUAAUUCAAUAAUGUGACAAGGUUUAAACAUGUAUUCCUCUUGUUAAGUUGGCUGUUGAGCUGUGGGUUUAUGCAAAUUAGCUGGAGUGAGUGAGUGACAAAGACACUUCCUGUGUGUGUGUGUGUCGGAGGCUUUCGGUUCAGUUCAAGAGAGAGCAGUGGCUGUUGAAGAGUAUUGGGAGAAAUAUAUAAUGGUAAAGUAUCAGGAUAUUUGAUUACGGUGGUCAGGUCUGUUCAGAGGGGCAGAUUUGGACAGGAAAUUUAUAAUUUAAGGAUGAUAUGUGGUUGAAAUUGGUUUUUAUCUUGUGCUGAAUGAAAACGGUCUUUGAUCUUUUGACGAGGUUUUUAGUGUGUUGAAUGGGUGAAGUUUAAGAUUGUUUUAGAUUUUUGAGGCUGUUGUUUCUAUUUCCAGAGAGGGUGUUUAAUUAAGACAUGGAUAUGUCUGAGAGGGGCACAAAAAAAAAAAAAAAAAAAAAAAAAAAAAAAUUUUUGUAGUAGUGCACUCAGGAAAAAACCUGUCAGGUGAUUUUGUUUGGUACUUUGAUGAGCUAAUAAUCAGCUCUCUUUUUCAUUUUUGUUCUAAGCAGGCCUGGAGGAGAGUGAACUGACGGCGCUGACAAAAUUACUAAGUACGAAGAUCAGGUGGGCUUUUCAGAUCACAAUUGGCGGCCAGUCUCUGUCUAAAGAAGGAUUGUAUCGAUUCAUUCCAGUCAAAAGUAUAGAGAACUAUUUUCCUGAAAAGGAAAAGGAAAUAAAACAACAAAUGAUUGAGCUCAUUUUGCUGAUGUGGAGCAUCUGAUGACGUGCGCAGAAGGCUGCAGUAUCAGCAAAAAAUAUCAGUCUUCAGUGGGGGAGAAGCUGAUUGCAGGCUGACAGGAAACGGUGUGCUUUUGCAGAAGCGAAACCGAAAGCAGAGCGAGUGCAAGCCAUAAUAAAGAGUUAGUAUGCAUUUAUCUUUGAUUUAAGAAGUUGUGCCUGUAUGAGUGACAUUUUCUACAGGAAGUGCACUUGAUGUUCCAGGAGAUAAGCGACAGCGGCGGGCUAACAGGAAGCAUCAGCCGUCGACACGAAGAUGAUGUUCUAUGUUAAAAGUCAUUGUGGUUUUGGUGUGACGUAAAUCUGCCUAGUAACAGAAAAGGGGGCUGUACAAUUCUUAACCCCAUAAAACAGUUGUCUGAAUAUGAGAAAGACAGUUCAACACUGAUUGGGUUGUUGAACUCACACAUGUGUUCA
ensembl:lncRNA